UAAAGUGCAAAUAACAACAAAAUGACGGUAGUCCAAUCAACAGUGAUGGAAAACAAACCAUUUGAGCCGGGGCUGAUAUAAGAGACACGUCGAUACCGUGUAGAUCUCGUCUAGACGUCCUUUUAUCUGCCGUUCGGGAAAUUACUUCUGGUCUUCUAUUGAUCGCAGUCGGGAAAACCGUCAUCGAUUCCAUGGGAAACGUUAACCAAAAUCGCCUCACGACGCCGCCGCAGCAAGUGUAGCGCUCUCGCCGCGACGCCGACGGUUGCUCCUGGCGAGUGAAGUUGGCC